CUUGGUCAUUUAGAGGAAGAAAAAGUCGUAACAAGGUCUCCGUUGGUGAACCAGCGGAGGGAUCAUUACCGAGUACUAUAACUCAUAACCCUUUGUGAACCUUUAUACCUGUUGCUUCGGCGGCGCGCCUCCCGGGGCGUGCCCGCCGGCAUUAUCAGAAUCUCUGUUCGAACCCGACGAUACAUCUGAGUGUUCUAAGCGAACUGUUAAAACUUUCAACAACGGAUCUCUUGGCUCCAGCAUCGAUGAAGAACGCAGCGAAACGCGAUAUGUAAUGUGAAUUGCAGAAUUCAGUGAAUCAUCGAAUCUUUGAACGCACAUGGCGCCUUCCAGUAUCCUGGGAGGCAUGCCUGUCCGAGCGUCGUUUCAACCCUCGAGCCCCCGUGGCCCGGCGUUGGGGAUCUGCCCAGGCAGUCCCCGAAAACCAGUGGCGGACCCGUUGGGCCCUUCCUUUGCGUAGUAACAUCUGCCUCGCAUCGGGAGCCUGCGGGCUAUCCGGCCUCUAAACCCCCCUCAAGCCCGCUCCGGCGGCACCAAGGUUGACCUCGGAUCAGGUAGGAAUACCCGCUGAACUUAAGCAUAUCAAUAAGCGGAGGAAAAGAAACCAACAGGGAUUGCCUCAGUAACGGCGAGUGAAGCGGCAACAGCUCAAAUUUGAAAUCUGGCUCCUUCGGGGCCCGAGUUGUAAUUUGCAGAGGAUGCUUCGGGUACGGGUUCCUUCCGAGUUCCCUGGAACGGGACGCCAUAGAGGGUGAGAGCCCCGUCUGGUAGGACACCCAGCCCGUGUGAAGCUCCCUCGACGAGUCGAGUUGUUUGGGAAU
rnacentral:sRNA from 1 species